GAGUGCCUCGAGGCGCAGCAGUGAGGAAUAUUGGUCAAUGGGCGGGAGCCUGAACCAGCCAAGUCGCGUGAGGGAAGACGGUCCUAUGGAUUGUAAACCUCUUUAGGCGGGGAGCAAUGCCGGGCACGCGUGUCCGGAGGGAGAGUACCCGCAGAAUAAGCAUCGGCUAACUCCGUGCCAGCAGCCGCGGUAAUACGGAGGAUGCGAGCGUUAUCCGGAUUUAUUGGGUUUAAAGGGUGCGUAGGCGGAUUUUUAAGUCAGCGGUAAAAUGUCCGGGCUCAACCCGGGCCGGCCGUUGAAACUGG
rnacentral:rRNA from 1 species